GAACGCGAAGAACCUUACCAAGGCUUGACAUGCACGGCGGCACUGCAGAGAUGUGGUGGCAUUUAGUUGGUCGUGUGCAGGUGGUGCAUGGUUGUCGUCAGCUCGUGUCGUGAGAUGUUGGGUUAAGUCCCGCAACGAGCGCAACCCUUGCCCUAUGUUGCCAGCACGUGAUGGUGGGGACUCGUGGGGGACUGCCGGGGUUAACUCGGAGGAAGGUGGGGAUGACGUCAAAUCAUCAUGCCCCUUAUGUCUUGGGCUUCACGCAUGCUACAAUGGUUGGUACAGAGGGUUGCGAAAUCGUGAGGUGGAGCGAAUCCCUUAAAGCCAGUCUCAGUUCGGAUUGGGGUCUGCAACUCGACCCCAUGAAGGUGGAGUCGCUAGUAAUCGCAGAUCAGCAACGCUGCGGUGAAUACGUUCUCGGGUCUUGUACACACC
rnacentral:rRNA from 1 species